AUUGAACGCUGGCGGCAUGCCUUACACAUGCAAGUCGAACGGCAGCACGGGAGCAAUCCUGGUGGCGAGUGGCGAACGGGUGAGUAAAGUAUCGGAACGUGCCCAGUCGUGGGGGAUAACGUAGCGAAAGUUACGCUAAUACCGCUUACGAUCUAUGGAUGAAAGCGGGGGAUCGCAAGACCUCGCGCGAUUGGAGCGGCCGAUAUCAGAUUAGGUAGUUGGUGGGGUAAAGGCUCACCAAGCCGACGAUCUGUAGCUGGUCUGAGAGGACGACCAGCCACACUGGGACUGAGACACGGCCCAGACUCCUACGGGAGGCAGCAGUGGGGAAUUUUGGACAAUGGGCGAAAGCCUGAUCCAGCCAUGCCGCGUGCAGGAUGAAGGCCUUCGGGUUGUAAACUGCUUUUGUACGGAACGAAAAGGUUUGGGCUAAUAAGCUGAGCUCAUGGCGGUACCGUAAGAAUAAGCACCGGCUAACUACGUGCCAGCCGCCGCAGUAA
rnacentral:rRNA from 1 species